rnacentral:rRNA from 1 species
AAGAGACAGCAGUCGCCGCGGUAAUACAGAGGGUGCGAGCGUUAAUCGGAUUUACUGGGCGUAAAGCGUGCGUAGGCGGCUUCUUAAGUCGGAUGUGAAAUCCCUGAGCUUAACUUAGGAAUUGCAUUCGAUACUGGGAAGCUAGAGUAUGGGAGAGGAUGGUAGAAUUCCAGGUGUAGCGGUGAAAUGCGUAGAGAUCUGGAGGAAUACCGAUGGCGAAGGCAGCCAUCUGGCCUAAUACUGACGCUGAGGUACGAAAGCAUGGGGAGCAAACAGGAUUAGAUACCCCGGUAGUCCCUGUCUCUUAUAC